GGCGGCGCCAGGGCCCAAGAACUGCCUGGUCAGGGGCGUUUCGGCGGCAGACUGUAAAUCUGCCGGCUCAGCCUUCCCAGGUUCGAAUCCUGGCGCCGCCA
rnacentral:tRNA from 1 species